rnacentral:rRNA from 1 species
GGCGACCGGGUGAGUAACACGUGACUAACCUUGCCCUAGGAGUGGGGGAUAACCUCGGGAAACCGGGGCUUAAUACCGCAUAACAUCACGAGGGGAAGAUCCUUGUGAUCAAAGGAGCAAUUCGCUCCGGGAGGGGGUCGCGGCUGAUUAGCCAGUUGGCGGGGUAACGGCCCACCAAAGCAAAGAUCAGUAGCCGGCCUGAGAGGGCGCACGGCCACAAUGGAACUGAAACACGGUCCAGACUCCUACGGGAGGCAGCAGUGGGGAAUUUUGCGCAAUGGGGGAAACCCUGACGCAGCAACGCCGCGUGGAGGAUGAAGUCCCUUGGGAUGUAAACUCCUUUCGAUCGGGACGAUCAUGACGGUUACCGGAAGGAAGAAGCACCGGCUAACUCUGUGCCAGGAGCCGAGG